UUAGUUGAAGCCAAAACAGAGGCCUUUCACUGUUAAUGAAAGAAUUGAUUUAAUAAUCCAAUUAAA
rnacentral:tRNA from 1 species